GGAGAGGUGGCUGAGUGGUCGAAGGCACCGCACUCGAAAUGCGGCAACGAGGUAACUCGUUCGAGGGUUCAAAUCCCUCCCUCUCCG
rnacentral:tRNA from 1 species